UACGGAGGGUGCAAGCGUUAUCCGGAUUCACUGGGUUUAAAGGGUGCGUAGGCGGCCCGAGAGGUCCUGGGUGAAAGGCCCCGGCUCAACCGGGGAGGGCCCCAGGAAACCGGCGGGCUAGAGGGCUGGAGAGGGCCGCGGAAUUCCCGGUGUAGCGGUGAAAUGCGUAGAUAUCGGGAAGAACACCAGUGGCGAAGGCGGCGGCCUGGACAGAACCUGACGCUGAGGCACGAAAGCUGGGGGAGCGAACAGG
rnacentral:rRNA from 1 species